UGAGGAAUUUUGCGCAAUGGGCGAAAGCCUGACGCAGCGACGCCGCGUGGAGGAAGACGGCCUUCGGGUUGUAAACUCCUGUCAGGGGUGAAGAAACUUCGCAAGAAGCUGACGGUAACCCCAGAGGAAGCCCCGGCUAACUACGUGCCAGCAGCCGCGGUAAUACGUAGGGGGCGAGCGUUGUCCGGAGUUACUGGGCGUAAAGAGCGUGUAGGCGGUUGGAAAAGUCAGAUGUGAAAUUCUUCGGCUCAACCGAGGAACUGCGUCUGAAACUUUCCGACUGGAGUUUGGGAGGGGCAACUGGAAUUCCUGGUGUAACGGUGAAAUGUGUAGAUAUCAGGAGGAACACCCGUGGCGAAGGCGGGUUGCUGGACCAAAACUGACGCUGAGACGCGAAAGCGUGGGUAGCAAACA
rnacentral:rRNA from 1 species